GAUUUUAAGUUAAUUAAAAACUGUUAGCCUUCAAAGUUAAAUAUAAAUAUUAUUAUUUAAAUCU
rnacentral:tRNA from 1 species